CCUCACGAUUCCCGUCCCUACUAGACAUCGAAGUCCCUCCGGUACGUACGACGUCCUUCGCCGCCGCCCCGUCUACGAUCUCCCUGCCGCCGACCCUUGCGGCCGACCACGGACGAACUUCGAUUCGUACCUAAGCCGCCGUCCGAGGGGAGACGCCGCCGCCGCGUCUCCAGGGCGGGGCGGUUUGAUCCGCGUCUCCAGGUCGGGGCGGUUUGAUCCCCUGUCGCCGCCGACGUUCGGGAUCGCCGCCGCCGCCGAACUCCGGGAGACGCCGUCGCCGCCCUCCGAGGGCAGUGCGCUUUAAAUCUCAGGUACAUAUGGGGAAUCCACAAAGCAAAGCAGCGGAACAAACGACUUUGUCAGAUGUACCUCCAGAUCAGAUGGAGGGGGCAAAUGUUGAUGAGAUUUACCCAAGUAGUCCAGAACGGAGGAUACUUGAACAAACCGAACAACCGGUUCUUCCCCAACCGACUAAUGGUGAUAUCACAAAUGUUCAACGACCUUCCCA